rnacentral:rRNA from 1 species
GGACUACAAGGGUAUCUAAUCCCGUUCGCUCCCCUAGCUUUCGCCCCUGAGCGUCAGAAACGAGCCAGGACACUGCCUUCGCCUUUGGUGUUCUUCCGGAUCUCUACGCAUUUCACUGCUCCACCCGGAGUUCCAUGUCCCUCUCUCGCUCUCAAGUCCACCAGUUUUUGCAGCACUCUCCUGGUUAAGCCAGGAGCUGUCACCCCAAACUUGGCGAACCGCCUGCGGGCCCUUUACGCCCAAUAAAUCCGGACAACGCUCGCCCCCUACGUAUUACCGCGGCUGCUGGCAC